UCCAAGAAGGUCAUUGUGGAGCCCCUGGUUGAGUUGGCAUGGAAUGACUCAUAAUUGGAUUUUACAGGACAAUAUAUGAAAACUACACCGUUUCUGAUGUGUGUGUCAAAACAUUAUUCAGUAUUGGAAGAGCUUUCCAACAAUAACAAACACGACUACUUUUGUAAAAAUUCUGUAAAGUCUAACCAUUGCAAAAUGCACUUCUGAAGAUAUCAACAAACCAGUGGCUAAUGUUGCUUGCUUUUUUGUGCUCGUUAAUUUUGCUGAAUGCGAAAACUACGAAGAUCUCAGCAAACCAGUGGCCUCAUCCUGCUCAGCACUAUGGCUGUGAUCAACAAUCUUGGAUUGUCUUUCAAGAUAAUUGCACGAUUCUGGUGUUUAAACCAAAUAUAUAUUCAUUGUAAUACAUUUUGAAUAAAUAAAUAUUAAUUGUAUAAGUUUAGUAUUGAAGUUAUUGUAAUAAUAUUGAAUAA